AGGGUGACAGCCCCGUACACAAAAAUGCACAUACUGUGAGCUCGAUGAGUAGGGCGGGACACGUGGUAUCCUGUCUGAAUAUGGGGGGACCAUCCUCCAAGGCUAAAUACUCCUGACUGACCGAUAGUGAACCAGUACCGUGAGGGAAAGGCGAAAAGAACCCCGGCGAGGGGAGUGAAAAAGAACCUGAAACCGUGUACGUACAAGCAGUGGGAGCACGCUUCGGCGUGUGACUGCGUACCUUUUGUAUAAUGGGUCAGCGACUUAUAUUCUGUAGCAAGGUUAACCGAAUAGGGGAGCCGAAGGGAAACCGAGUCUUAACUGGGCGUUAAGUUGCAGGGUAUAGACCCGAAACCCGGUGAUCUAGCCAUGGGCAGGUUGAAGGUUGGGUAACACUAACUGGAGGACCGAACCGACUAAUGUUGAAAAAUUAGCGGAUGACUUGUGGCUGGGGGUGAAAGGCCAAUCAAACCGGGAGAUAGCUGGUUCUCCCCGAAAGCUAUUUAGGUAGCGCCUCGUGAAUUCAUCUCCGGGGGUAGAGCACUGUUUCGGCAAGGGGGUCAUCCCGACUUACCAACCCGAUGCAAACU
rnacentral:rRNA from 1 species